rnacentral:rRNA from 1 species
GAUGAACGCUGGCGGCGUGCCUAAUACAUGCAAGUCGAGCGGUAAGGCCCUUCGGGGUACACGAGCGGCGGACGGCUGAGUAACACGUAGGAACGUACCCCAAACCUGAGGGAUAAGCACCAGAAAUGGUGUCUAAUACCGCAUGUGAUCUUCGGAUUAAAGCUUCGGCGGUUUGGGAACGGCCUGCGCAUGAUUAGCUUGUUGGUGAGGUAAUUGCUCACCAAGGCGACGAUCAUUAGCUGGUCUGAGAGGAUGACCAGCCAGACUGGAACUGAGAACGGUCCAGACUCCUACGGGAGGCAGCAGUAGGGAAUUUUCCACAAUGGGCGAAAGCCUGAUGGAGCAACGCCGCGUGCAGGAUGAAUGUCUUCGGAUUGUAAACUGCUUUUAUAUGUGACGAUAAUGACGGUAGCAUAUGAAUAAGGAUCGGCUAACUCCGUG